rnacentral:rRNA from 1 species
AGUGAACGCUGGCGGUAGGCCUAACACAUGCAAGUCGAACGGCAGCACAGUAAGAGCUUGCUCUUACGGGUGGCGAGUGGCGGACGGGUGAGGAAUACAUCGGAAUCUACUUUUUCGUGGGGGAUAACGUAGGGAAACUUACGCUAAUACCGCAUACGACCUACGGGUGAAAGCAGGGGAUCUUCGGACCUUGCGCGAUUGAAUGAGCCGAUGUCGGAUUAGCUAGUUGGCGGGGUAAGGGCCCACCAAGGCGACGAUCCGUAGCUGGUCUGAGAGGAUGAUCAGCCACACUGGAACUGAGACACGGUCCAGACUCCUACGGGAGGCAGCAGUGGGGAAUAUUGGACAAUGGGCGCAAGCCUGAUCCAGCCAUACCGCGUGGGUGAAGAAGGCUUUCGGGUUGUAAAGCCCUUUUGUUGGGAAAGAAAAGCAGCAGGUUAAUACCCCGCUGUUCUGACGGUACCCAAAGAAUAAGCACCGGCUAACUUCGUG